rnacentral:lncRNA from 1 species
ACCAGGUGCCCGUAGACAUCCGCAGGCUGGAGGUAGAAGGUGGAGUUGAGCAGAUCUUCCAGCUUGCGCGGGACGUCGUUCUCCUGGUAGUACGCCAUCGCCUGCUGCUUCAGCUUCUGCAGGUCCCUAGUGAUCCCGCCUCUGCGGCCGCCGUCUUCAUCUCCCAUGAUGGAGAGUGUCGGCAUGUACGGGUUCUGUGGCUGCAAAGGAAAGAGCAAGCUGAAGUGUGACUCCAGGUGGGAAAUAGCAGCAGCAGCAGCAGGGAUGGCUCGGAUGUGAGGCUGUCAUGCAAGGCUCUGCAUGAGAUAGCACUGUAGUAUUUCCACCUUGAGCUGAUCCUCAGCCCCAAACACAGUUUUUACCCGGGGCCUCGUGCAUGCUGGGCAGUCCCUCUAGCACUGAGCUAGAUCUCAGGCCUCUUCCUUUGGAUUCCUAACGUCCUGAACGAGAAGCUCUGCAUUUUUAUUUUGCUCUCAUGCCUCUCUGACGGCAAGUCAUGGAGUUAAAGCCUUAAACUUUAACGUGGAUCCGUCUGUUUCAGCCCACUUGGGUGGCGCAAGGGACCAGGUGCUCUUUGAGAGAGGAGCCUGGGGACACUGAAAUGGCUCAGAGAGUAAAAGCACCAAGCCCAACAGGUUCCAAUCUGGCUCCCACUGCCAGCUCUGGAAGAUGCUGAGAUGCCUUAGCAGUAAGUCGAGAUUUUCAAGAAUCUGUCUGAUUGAGGGACUGUGUAAUCCCUGUGAGGAAAAUCCAGAGGUGGUCCAGAGUGACGGGUGAUCCCGAGGGCAGCGGCCCUUUGAAUCCUCAGACUCUACUUUCAAUGAUUUACCUAUGUAUGUGUGGAAAUAAAUGCGUAUGUGC